rnacentral:lncRNA from 1 species
UGUCACUGUCUUCUGGCAGAAAGAGCACAAAGAACCACAGACAGCAGCGGAGUGGAGGGACAGCAGGAGAACGGGAGAUCCACUAUGGGACUGUUGCCUUUUUACCCAGUACUCUGGUCCAGUUUGCUGUUUUUGUGGGCCGCACAAUGUGAGACUGAGGUCAACAGUCCAAAUACCUGUCCAGAGCAAAGUGAAGAGAUCUAUGUGCAAAAUUCAAGCAACCAGGAAAACUAUGUAGAGAAGAUUGAGGAGGGCUCUUUCAUCUGCAGAUUUUACCCAACAAAUGACCUCAACUGCUCCUGGUCAUUCCUCACUUUAGAGAAAGACACUCAGCUCUCUGUUGAUAUCAGUGUUUGUUUAGAUGAUUACAUAAUUCAAUCUACAAACCAUACAUCUGUGGAAAGAGUCGGGUCAGUGUCUAUGUUUGUAAACUGGGAUGAGAUGCUUAAUGUCAUCCUCCACUUCAAUAUGUCAAGCCACGACAGGUGGACCACUUACACCUACAUGUAUGACAUGGAUCAACUAGAGGUGCUGCCUCCACCCUCAAACAUCUCGGCAUCUUUUGAAAAUGGAAACCUCAAAGUGACAUGGGAUUUGCCCCGCAGCCUAAAAACCAACCCCAAAUGUUUUGUUUACCAGCUGGACAUGGGUGACCAGGAGACACCUAAGGAUUUGACCAUAGGCCAGCAGUAUUACACUGAGCUGAAUGCCAACCCCACCCGCACCUACAGUGUGAGAAUAAGGUCAAGACUGUCAGAAAGUUGCUAUGGAGCGUCACAAUGGAGUGAAUGGAGUACCCCUGUCGUGGUAGAGUUGUCAGUGUGGAAACUCAACUAUCUGGUGAUCAUGUUGAUUUCAUUUGGAGUACCCAUGAUCCUCCUUGCUGUGCUGCUACUGGUGCGCUAUCAAAGGGUGUCUGAGGUUCUGUUUCCUCCGAUUCCUCGUCCACCUCUAAAAUACAAAAAUUUCCUUGAAAAAAAUGAUACAUCGAUCUUCUUCCAUCCCGUGCCCCCAUCUAAACCCGAGGAAGAAAUCACAGAGGUGGAAGAGCAAUACCACGGGAAGACGUCUUAAAAGCCAGACGUAUCAAAAUAUACGUCUAAAUGUGUGCACUGCUGGCAUUUUUAUAAAUGUGUUGAAUGCUUGCUAGGUGUGUGUUUGAUGUGUCUUUGCAUGGGUUACAGUCCGUGUAGACAGCCUGUCAGCGAGAGAGGUGGCCUGUGUUUUUAUGGUCGACAACUAAACUCUGUUUAGGCUCACAUGGGUGAAAUAUGUUACUUUUGUUUAUUGAUAAACUCAGACAGAAGAUGUCUUCAGAUGUUUAAUUUACAGCUUCAGCAAAGGAUGUCUGCUGUUGAUAUCAAACUAGUAGAUGACUGAGGCAAGAAAGGAGGUGAUGAAGAGGAGGAGGCGACGAUAUAAAUGUGAUCUCAAAUAUUUCCAUAUGGAACCAUUUUUUUGCCGAUAUUAACAACAGUGUGAAAAAUUGUGAAUAAAAACAAAAAUAAAAAUACA